rnacentral:rRNA from 1 species
UAGUACACUUAAAUUUAAUUAUAAAAUACUAGAAUAUUAGGAGUUAUGUUCUUUAAAUUUAAAAAAUUUGGCGGUGUUUUAGUCUAGUUAGAGGAACCUGUUUUAUAAACGAUACAACACGCAUUAUUUUACUUAUUUUAGUAUCUCAGCUUGUAUACCGUCAUUAUAAGAUAAUUUAAGAGAGAAUAUUAUUAGAAUCAUAUUAUUGAGUAUAUUAGAUCAAGGUGCAGCUUAUAAAUAAGUAAACAUGGGUUACAAUAAAAAUUAUUUAAUAUGAAUUAAAUAUUAAAAUAUAUUUAUGAAGGAGGAUUUAAUUGUAAGGAAAGGAGUAGUGAGAUUUUCUGAUAAAAGCUCUAAAUUAU